rnacentral:piRNA from 1 species
UAUUUUUUUUGAAUUGAUUUC